rnacentral:rRNA from 1 species
CACGCCCUAAACGAUGCGAACUGGAUGUUGGGCUCAACUUGGAGCUCAGUAUCGAAGCUAACGCGUUAAGUUCGCCGCCUGGGGAGUACGGUCGCAAGACUGAAACUCAAAGGAAUUGACGGGGGCCCGCACAAGCGGUGGAGUAUGUGGUUUAAUUCGAUGCAACGCGAAGAACCUUACCUGGCCUUGACAUGCACGGAACUUUCCAGAGAUGGAUUGGUGCCUUCGGGAACCGUGACACAGGUGC